AUGGGUAAAGACCUGAGCUCAGGUACUCAUGUUUUGUGCAUAAUGGAGGUUUUACAGCAGAAGAGGCUGUUCUAUUACCUUGGUUCCACCACCAUUUUCAAGAUGAGAGUGCCCAGCUUGAUGAAGACUCAAGUAGCACAUAGUGAAGUCAAGACCAGGCCAGGAUAACAAAGGGAGCCGCUGAAGUCUGUUCUGGAGGCACCAUGACAAAGCACCAGACAGAAAGCAGUCACGUGUGGGGAGAUGAGCAGACACCACUUCGCGGGCACCUGAUUAUUCUUUUCUCGGUGUUUAGAAGCAAAAAUUACCCUACGGAAAACAGUUGCAGAUGCAAAACCACAAAGGUACAGUGUUAUAAAUGGCACAGUGUAUGCAGAUAA
rnacentral:lncRNA from 1 species